UGCUUGGGGGUACUCUGUAGCGGACUGGCGAAGGGGCAGUAAUACAUGGAUAACCUACCCUGGGGAUGGGCAUAGCCGGUCUAACGGCCGGGUAAUACCCAGAGAUUCGGCGAGGAGGCAUCUUUUUGCCGGGAAAUGAAUUUCGCUUCGGGAGGGGUCCAUGAGCUAUCAGCUAGUUGGUGGGGUAGCGGCCUACCAAGGCUAAGACGGCUAGCGGGUGUGAGAGCACGACCCGCGCCACUGGCACUGAGACACUGGCCAGACACCUACGGGUGGCUGCAGUCGAGGAUCUUCGUCAAUGGGCGAAAGCCUGAACGAGCGAUGCCGCGUGAGCGAUGAAGGCCUUCGGGUUGUAAAGCUCAAAAGUGAAGAGAAAGGGAAACUUGAUCGAUUCACAGUAAGCUCGGGCUAAGUUCGUGCCAGCAGCCGCGGUAAGACGAACCGAGCGAACGUUGUUCGGAAUCACUGGGCUUAAAGGGCGCGUANGCGGGCAUUCAAGUCUGUGGUGAAAUCCUCCAGCUCAACUGGAGANCUGCCAUGGAUACUGGGUGUCUCGAGGGUGGUAGGGGUAUGCGGAACUAUCGGUGGAGCGGUGAAAUGCGUUGAUAUCGAUAGGAACUCCGGUGGCGAANGCGGCAUACUGGACCACAUCUGACGCUGAGGCGCGAAAGCCAGGGGACNAACGGGAUNNAUNCCCGGUAGUCNUGGCCCUAAACNANGGGUACUAACUAGUAGGGUNCAAUGACUUUCUGGG
rnacentral:rRNA from 1 species